UGGGGAAUAUUGCACAAUGGAGGGCACUCUGAUGCAGCGACGCCGCGUGAGGGAUGAAGGAAUUCGUUUCGUAAAACCCUGUUCUAUGGGAAGAAAAGGACUGUACCAUAGGAGAAAGCUCCGGCUAAACACGUGCCAGCAGCCGCGGUAAUACGUAAGGAGCGAGCGUUGUCCGGAAUUAUUGGGCGGAAAGGGUGCGCAGGCGGCUUUACAAGUUGGAUGUGAAAUAUUGUGGCUCAACCAGGAACGUGCAUCCAAAACUGCAAAGCUUGGGUUAAGGAGAGGUAGGUGGAAUUCCUGGUGUGGCGGUGGAAUGCGUAAAUAUCAGGAGGAAUACCGGUGGCGAAGGCGACUUCCUGGGCAUAAACUGACGCUCAGGGACAAAGGCGUGGGGAGCAAACAGG
rnacentral:rRNA from 1 species